rnacentral:rRNA from 1 species
AAUGAACGCUGGCGGCAGGCUUAACACAUGCAAGUCGAACGAGUGGCGGACGGGUGAGUAAUGCAUGGGAAUCUAGCUGAUGGAGGGGGAUAACUACGGGAACCUGUUGCUAAUCCCGCGUACCAUCGGAUGAGCCCACGGGGGAUUAGGUAGUUGGUGAGGUAAAGGCACACCACGCAGACGAGCGCUAACUGGUCUGAGAGGAUGACCGGCCACACUGGGACUGAGACACGGCCCAGACCCCUACGGGAGGCAGCAGUGGGGAAUAGUGCGCAAUGGGCGAAACCUGACGCAGCCAUGCCGCGUGUAUGAAGAAGGCCUUCGGGUUGUAAAGUUCUUUCGGUAGCGAGGCGUUACCCGCAGAAGAAGCACCGGCUAACUCCGUGCCAGCCGCCGCGGUAAUAC